UGCCUAUCUAUGGAAUAUACUCCCCGAC
rnacentral:piRNA from 1 species